rnacentral:lncRNA from 1 species
AAGUCUUGUUGUGGCUGAUGAGAGACAACAAAGCUGAAUCUACCUUCUCAAAUUCAUUUGUGUCUGAUUCUUGAGAGUCGGAGACUGCUCUUUUAGAAUGCAUCAGCUUGGAUAUUAUUGACCAUCUGCUGUGUUUUGAGUGUCCUUUAGGAUCAGAGAUAAAUAGCAAUAGAUGUUCUAGUGAGUAAAGAGUGACCGCUUCUGCUUCUUUCAAUAAUCCAAACAUAGGUGAAGAGUUAUUGUCUUUGUUUGAGGAAGAAUCAAUCGACUCAUUCUUCAUUGUUUUCAAAUUUACCAACGCCUUUCGAAUUUGCUUCUUCAUGUUCUUCCUAAAAGCCAUGUAUUUUACACCCUCAACUGUGAAUCCAGUUUCAAUUCCUCUCUUUCUUCUGAUGACUGAUUGUAGUUCAUACAUGUUUUCCUUUGAUAGCGAAAGGAAAUCCUUAGCUAUACUACAGAUAUCCAAGAUUCUAAGUGAACCUUCUAGUAGGUCAUUAACCGAUCUUUCAUUGCAUUCUCGUGAUAAGGCUUGUUGUUCAGUUGGCAAUUGAAGUAACUUACCAAUGCAGUCAUUCAAAUCCUGCAUUCCAUUAAGUUUGUUGCAUACCGAUGAUGAUGACAAUGAAGUGGUGCCUUCAGAAUUAUUCAAUAUUUUCAAAUUGUCCUCAAAUUGUGAUACAAGAGGGUGAGGAGAGGAGGGUAAACUGUUGCUGCGAAGGUGCAGAGAGCUUUUUGUGUUUGUUUCAAUGACUGCCAUUUUUUCUUCUCAAAAGGUUAGAAAGUGAUAAUAUACAAGAGCUUAUUUGAAAACUUGAGUUUCUGUUUGCUUUUUGCCUUCAUAUAUAGCAAACAAAGUAACCGAUUGAGGGAGACAAAACGAAUAUUUGUGUUCCUCAAGUGUCACCUAAUUAGUAUGAAAUUAUAUCUUCUUGAUUUGAAUCUCAGCUACCUCACCAUGAUCUGGCAAUGCUCUCCAUGCAUCAAGCUUCCAACUCAUCCCUCAAUUUUUUUUAGGGAAUAGCGUUGAUUUUGAUAAAAUGGCAUCAUUACAAUAUAAU